rnacentral:lncRNA from 1 species
CUUUAUUUAUAGUGAGGGGGAUGAUUUAGCUACCAAGAAUAGAACUCUAGAAUCUCUCUAAUUAUAGACAUUCACCUUAAAUAGGAGAUUUAAUAACAAAAGUAUAAUUAUGACAUAUUUUUAAUAGUAAAAGAAUAUAUUUGACCCUUAACCGUAAAAUCUAAGACCUAGAGACUACAACGAGGGAGGAGACAACACAAAACCUAGCCCUAGCACCCUUCAUUAGCAACCUCCAUUACUGAAAAGAAAAAAAAGGGGUUGUCUCCCUCAACAGACCCAACACAAAAAACGGUCCCCUUCUCCUUCGAAAUUCAAGCAGCUUGGUAACCACAACCCGCCGAAAUUCCUAUAGCCAGCCGCUGCUUCUUCACCAUCUCGAAAAGCUUCAGUGUUUCCCCAUAUCUUCACCAUCAAACUCGCCGGAACUCUUUCAACACCAACGAAUCCUCCGCUAGUCCGCCACCAAACGACCAAAGAACAACACAAAUCAGCUAUGGACAUCACCUACCCUCCCUUAGAAACAACCAUCAGAAUCCCGGGAAAAGCACAGUUAGAAUCAGUCCACAAAACACACAAACUCCAAUCGAGUUCGAGUUUGCCGACGAGUCUCCUCCGGUCGAAUGUCCCUGUUUGAUGGAAUUAGAUUGCUUUCCAUUUUAUCUGUUGUAUGCAUUGUCGGAGUUACUUUUAUUCGGAAAAGAUCCACAUCAAGGUUCAUCUCUUCUCUCACUUUCUGCUUGAAAUGGAUUAAUGGAUUUUGUUGCCAAAAAUGAAUUUGAACUUUAUUUGUCAUUUGAUUCUUGUUUCUUUUGUGCUUGAUAUUCUCCGCUGUUUGGUAUGGAUCUACUGAUUUGAGGGUAGGGAAUAUGACCUUAGUUUAAUUAAUCUAAUUUUACAUUUUAGAAGUAUAUACAUGUUAAAAUUGGAAGUAAAUGAGAAGGAUAUGGAUUUCACAUUUUUAGAAGGUUUUGGAUUAAAUUCAUUAAGUAACAGAUUGGGUUUGAGUUAAGUUCUUUAAUUAAUAGGUCCAAUAUAGAGCCUAAGUACCUGAAUCUGCUAGGCUUGAAAUUGUAUCAGGAGUAUAGAUUAAUUUUGUCUAUCCAUGGGCCAAUAUUAUGCUUAACUUCAUUGUUCCUUAAUUGCUUUCUUGAUUCCGUAGUUACUCACUGGCUAAAUUUUUUCUGCUGGAAAUGUUUGGAUGCAAAUGUUUGUUUCAUAAAUGGUCAAAAUAGCACUUAAACAUUCGUAUGCCGAGAUUCUUAAGCGAAAAUUGAAAGAAAUUGAAAGGGGUGAUACCUUGAUACUCGACCACAUUCGGGUAGGCAAGUCUCAGGAUAUUGUUUGAAUUUUGAGGCAAAAGGUGGUUUCUUUAGUUUAUUAUCCGGGAAAUGCCUCGCGUAAGUUGUAUAUAUUUUCCGGUGUAUGCCCCGAAGUACUUGUAUUGAGGGCCGAAAGUGGAACUUGAAGUAUUUUUAUUUUAUUUUUAUUUUCAUUUUCUUUUAUUAGGUGGGAACUACCUCGAGCCUUUUAUCUGUUUGUUUUUCUUUUCUGUGUUUGUUUUAGCUCAACCUGAAUAUUUUAAGAGCCAACUAGCUCGAGUACGCAGCCGUGACCUUCACGGGACUUGGGGAGUGCCUAACACCUUCUUUCCGAGUCAAAUGAGCCCCUUUACCCUAAUCUCUGGUGCGGACUUGGUUUUAGAGUCUGAAACGUUUUAAAAGGAAAAAUUAUUUAAAAAUGGUGACCUGGCACACCGAAAUCAAAUGUCAGGUGGCGAUUCUGAAUUAUUUCCUUUUGAACAUAUUUUGUCACAUUUCAAUUGAAAACCCUUUUCAAGCUUUUACUAAAUCCUUUUAUUUAUUUUAAGAGUGUUUAGUGAUAGUUUGUUUUCAAAAAAAAGGGUGUGACAAAGAGUUAAGUAAAAUCUAUUCACGAAAGAAUAAAGUAUAAGUUUGUGUGAAUGAUCAAUAUGAAUCGUUACUUGUUUGUCGAAGUUAAAACGAUUGUACACGGUAUGAAUCUACAAAAUGAACAAUGAAAAUUUAAUUAGAUAUUUUUGACUUUUAUUACUUGUUGUAAUUUUAUGACAAUCAUGUAAUUAAGUGUAUCUCGCCUGAUACUUUUACAAUAAAGGCAACAUAGUAAUUCAACUUUGCAGGAACGAGCUUCUCACUUUUAGUUUAACUAGUUUUAGGAUACGCGCUUUGCGCGUGUUAUAAAGCGCGUAUUUCUUAUAUCAAUAAAUAUAUCGACUUAAAAUUUUUUUUAAAAAAAAAUAAGCAAAGUGUUUGAGACACAAAGUACAUAGAGUUGAUAGAAUGUUAAUCUACUGUACUUCAAUAAAAUAAUAAAUUAUGCAUCAUAGAUAUGUGGAAUAUCUUAUAAAAAUUGUUAUUAAUUUUGUAUCUAAUAUCGGAAAAAAGUAACAUAAAAAUACUUUUUGCAAAUAACACAAAUUUAUGUAUGACACUUAAAAUUUAUAUUCUCAAACAUAAAAAUACUUUUUGAAAAUAACACAAAUUUAUAUAUAACACUUAAAAUUUAUAUUUUCAGACAAACUUGUCAAAAAAUGAAUUUGUAAUAUCAAUUAAAUUUCAAGAGAAAAUUCAGUUGACAAUAUGUUUUUACAAUUAUUGUUCCUUAAUUUUUUUAAUUAUUCGAUGUUCCUAUGCGUUUUGGCUAAUAUAAGGAGUAUUUUACUCUUGUGUUACAUAUAGCUUAUGUGUGCCUAUUUUUAGUAGCUUCAUAGUAGUGUUAAUUGGACGAAAAAAAGGUAGUACAAAUACAUUUUCUAAGUUUUGAAUACAAAAAAUAUAUUAUUGUUUGACUUUAAUAUUAAUGGGCUUUAAAUAAGGAAAUCUAUAUGAAAUAAAUUUUAAUUGCUUGUAAAAUCCUAAAUAUGGAAAAAAUAAAUAUUCAGAAAUAUAGUUGAUUCCAAUAUUCCAGUAAUUAGGAAAGUAAUUAAAUGAUCAUUCCUAUAUAUUAGAAAAAUAUUAAAAUUACUAUAUUUUCCGGUGUAACUCUAUAUUUUUAAAGAUUAAAAAAAGCGAUUAAAUGAUCAUUCCUACAUAUUAGAAAGAUAUGAAAAUUACUAUAUUGUCCGGUGUUAACUCUAUUUUUAAAGGAUAAAAAAGGAGAAUGAUAUUUCGCUAAGGGCCUUCGUGCUUUUAAUAUAAUUUGUAUAUAUAAUAUAUAUAUAUAUACAUGUGUGUGUGUGUGUGUGUGUUUGUGUGUGUGUGUGUUUGUGUGUGUGUGUGUUGUGUGUGUGUAUGUUUGAUAUUCUUGUUUUACGUUCCUUUUCCACCAUCCCAAUUAUAAUUAUAUUGAGUUGAUGUUGUCUUCUUCAAUAUCUUUGUUCUUCUGGAUUCUUAACUACGCGUUUAUCUUCAUCUGCAAUUUCUAUUGCACCAACUUUUCCAACUUCAUGUAGCUUGUUUGCAAUUAUUUUGCACACCACCUCGAUAAGAGGGAGUUGCUCAGAUGGUCAACACCCCUCACCUAUAAUCCUAAGGUCGUGAAUUCGAGUUACCAAAGAAGCAACAACUCCAACAUAGAUCCUCCUACUUGAUUUUCACCUAAUAGUAUAAACCUUCUAAAAUGGUAUGAAUAACAUUAUAAUAUAUGUGAGAUGUGUUGCAUCAAAAUUUAAGGGAUGAAAAUAUAAGCUCCAACUUAAUUGCUGAAAUUGAAUAGUUAAUAUUCAAGCAACAAGAAAAAAUUCCCAUUUUUUGUAAAAUUUUUGUAAANNNNNNNNNNNNNNNNNNNNNNNNNNNNNNNNNNNNNNNNNNNNNNNNNNNNNNNNNNNNNNNAAAUAUAUAAAAUAGAAAAUUCGAUCAAAAUAAAAGUCUCAUUUCUCUUUCUGCUUUUUUAUUUUAUGUUUACCACCUUGCUGGACUAAAAAAAAGAAACUUUCAAGUAUUCCACAAUGCAUUUUUAUGUUAUGAUUUUAGUGUAAGAAGAUUAUAUCGAUUUGAACAAAUUAAAUAGGAUUGUCAUAUCAAAUAUCCAACGUGACAAUUUUCUUAUUUUUCUACAUUUCAACAAUAUGUAGAUGACAUUUGAAUAUUGUCACACCUUUUUUUUUAAACAUCCUCACCAAUCCCUCUUAAAUAAAUAAAAAAGAUUUAAUAAAACUUGAAAAGGGUUUUCAAUUGAAAGUGACAAAAAUUUGUUUCAAAAGCAAAAUAAUUCAGAGUCGCCACCUGACAUUUGAUUUCGGUGUGCCAGGUCGCCGUUUUUUAUUCUUAAAUGAUUUUUCCUUUUAAAACCUUUUAACUCUAAAACUAAGUCCACAUCAGAGAUUCAGGUAAGGGGGUUCAUUUGACUCGGAGAGAAGGUGUUGAGCACUUCCCAAGUCCCGUGAAGGUCACGGUUGCCUACUCGAUCAAGUUGGCUAUUAAAAUAUUCGAUUGAGGUUAAACAAACACAGAAAAAAUAAACACAUAAAAGGGCUCGAGGCUGUCCCCACCUAAUAAAAGAAAAUAAAAAGGAAAAGAAAAGAAAAGUCCUGAGUUAACUUAUACUACGACUUCUCCGCGAUGCUCGUCAAGGCCUCAAAAAUACUUACAUAGUUAUUCAAGGCAUACCCCGUGUAAUAAUAUUUACAAGCUUCACGAUUCAUUCCCCGGAUAAAUUUAACUAAGGGAGAACCUCUUACCUUAGAACCAAAAGCAAAUAAAACAUCCUAAGAUUGCCUACCCAAACAUAGUCGGCCUAACAUACUCCUAGCGCGUAAAUUAAUUAGUAAAACAAUUAAAACCUAAUUGUCAUGCAGGUCCAUUCAUGUCAAAGCCUAAUUCCUAUUAAAUAUCAUUAAUCAUCGCCCACUUAACAUAUUGGCAGUACCCUAUGCUUUUUAAUAAAAAUCAAUAUCCCAUUUAUUCUGUUUCAACGUUUGAGUCAUGGCUUGAAGCUUCAUUGAGAAUGCAACACCAAAUAAUCAAAACCAACAGAACUAUGAUGAACAAUUAAUUUCAAUCAAGUCCCAGCAAAAAAUAUCACAAUAACAUGGCAAACAUCACUAAAUAAAAAUAAUAAAGGGAUCAGAGUGGACCUUUUGAAGCUAUUGAAAAAUCUCUUUAGAAAUGUAUUGAACCUCAUGUCAAACAAAUAGAACCAGCGGACGAAAAUUCGAAUGGCACCAGAAACUCGAACGGAAAUCGACGCGCAGAAACAUCUCGAAUCGAACUCAAAUCUCAAUUGAUCUCCAUUCUCAUACUUGAAAACCAAAACUCAAAACAAAACGGAAAAAGAACAGAAUUAUCUAUAUCCGUAUAUAGAUAUGCAUUUUUUGAAAUAUAAAUAAACACUGAAGACCACAAAAAUGAGCCGCCAAGUCAAUUUUGUUGUUUUUUUGGAACCCAAUUUUAUCCCACGUUUCUAUUCUGAAACGAGCAAGUUUUCUUCAUCUCUAUUCCAUGUUAUUCUCUCUGUUCUCUGUUUUCUCUGUGUGUGUGUGUGAAGUCGCUGGUGGAGUUGGGGAGACAGAAGGUUAGAGUCGACUGAGUUGAUGAUGGCUGCUACUGGUUUUCGAUGCAGGGGAGGUGAUUGUCGAUGGUGGCUGCUGUGACAGUUGAGAGUCGCUGAUCUUGGUCGUUUGAUGGCUGACAGAAGCAGGGGUCGUUGGUGUUGAAAGUGUUCCGGCGAGUUUGGGUUGGGAAACGGGAUAUGGUGGCCGGCGGCGUUCAGGGUGGUUAAGGUUUUAGUGUGGAAAAAAGAGAUAAAGUAGCUAGGGUUUUGCUUGUUUCCUCCAUUGUUGUUUUGGUGCUAGGGUUUUUUUUUGGUAACUUCAUAGAGAAGAAGAAGAUGCAGCCAUAGUUGUUGUUGUCUUCCCUUCGGCUUUUCUUUCCCAGGGGUUCUUUUGUUCU